rnacentral:rRNA from 1 species
GACGAACGCUGGCGGCGUGCUUAACACAUGCAAGUCGAACGAAGUGGCGAAAGGGUGAGUAACGAGUAAUCAACCUGCCCUUCAGAGGGGGACAACAGGUGGCAACAACUGCUAAUACCGCAUACUGAAGGAGGGGGUUGCGUCUGAUUAGCUAGUUGGAGGGGUAACGGCCCACCAAGGCGAUGAUCAGUCGCCGGUCUGAGAGGAUGGACGGCCACAUUGGGACGGAGACACGGCCCAGACUCCGACGGGAGGCAGCAGGGGGCAAUCGUGCGCAAUGGACGAAAGUCGGACGGAGCAACGCCGCGUGAGGGAGGAUGGCCUUCGGGUUGGAAAGCUCUGUUAAUCGGGACGCGGUACCGGAAUAGAAAGCCACGGCUAACUACGUGCCAGCAGCCGCGGUAAUUC